GGUUUGGUUGAAAGCCUGAGCUUUUGACUAAACCUAGUGGCGGACGGGUGAGUAACGCGUGGGCAACCUACCCUACAGACCGGGAUACCAUCGGGAAACUGAUGUUAAUACCGGAUACACUUAGUAUAACGCAUGUUGUAUUAAGGAAAGAUUUUAUCGCUGUAGGAUGGGCCUGCGUUCCAUUAGCUAGUUGGUAGGGUAACGGCCUACCAAGGCGACGAUGCGUAGCCGACCUGAGAGGGUGAUCGGCCACACUGGGACUGAGACACGGCCCAGACUCCUACGGGAGGCAGCAGUAGGGAAUCUUCCGCAAUGGACGAAAGUCUGACGGAGCAACACCGCGUGAGCGAUGAAGGCCUUCGGGUCGUAAAGCUCUGUUGUUAGGGAAGAACAAGUGCUAUUCGAAUAGGGUGGCACCUUGACGGUACCUAACGAGAAAGCCACGGCUAACUACGUGCCAGCAGCCGCGGUAAUACGUAGGUGGCAAGCGUUGUCCGGAAUUAUUGGGCGUAAAGCGCGCGCAGGCGGUCUCUUAAGUCUGAUGUGAAAGCCCACGGCUCAACCGUGGAGGGUCAUUGGAAACUGGGGAGACUUGAGUACAAAGAGGAGAGUGGAAUUCCAUGUUGUAGCGGUGAAAUGCGUAAAUAUUAUG
rnacentral:rRNA from 1 species